CUACGGGACGCAGCAGUGGGGAAUAUUGGACAAUGGGGGAAACCCUGAUCCAGCAAUGCCGCGUGUGUGAAGAAGGCCUGCGGGUUGUAAAGCACUUUCGGUUGGGAGGACUGCUUCUAGCACUAAUAUUGUUGGAAGUUGGCGUUACCUUCAGAAGAAGCACCGGCUAACUCCGUGCCAGCAGCCGCGGUAAUACGGGAGGGUGCAAGCGUUAAUCGGAAUUACUGGGCGUAAAGCGCGCGUAGGCGGCUAGAUCAGUCGGGUGUGAAAGCCCCGGGCUUAACCUGGGAACUGCAUCCGAUACUGUCUAGCUUGAGUACAGGAGAGGAGAGUGGAAUUCCACAUGUAGCGGUGAAAUGCGUAGAUAUGUGGAGGAACACCAAUGGCGAAGGCAGCUCUCUGGCCUGAUACUGACGCUGAGGUGCGAAAGCGUGGGGAGCAAACAGGAUUAGAUACCCGAGUAGUC
rnacentral:rRNA from 1 species